ensembl:snRNA U6 U6 spliceosomal RNA
GUGCUUGCUCAGGCGGCACUUGUACUAAAAUUGGAAUGCUACAGAGAUUAGUGCAGCCCCUGGCAAGGAUAACGCACAAAUUCAAGAAGUGUUCGGUACUUUU